UAGUAAUUGCUGACAUUUAUGGAAUACUUGCCAUAUAUCAGACACCAUUCUAUGUGCUUUAUAUAUACUAAUUUAUUUUUUUCAUAGCAGUCCCAUUAGAGAGUUAUAGUUAUUAAUGUCAUUUUACAGAUGAAGAAACUGAGACACAGAGGGAUUAAGUAGCCUGCUCAAGAUCACACAGCUAGUAAGGAACCGAGAUUCAAACUUGGGCAGUGUGAUUCAGAGACUUUAAAUUCAACGCUGGUGCCUCACUGCCUCACUGGCCACAAAUUCUAUUAAAGCAGAAGAAAUAGUGGUGAACCAUAAAAGAGAACCAGUUUCUUCUCUAUUCUGCAAUUUAGAGGAAAAAUUUCCAUCCAAGGACAGAUCAGGUACUGUUUUUCAACCCUACUCUCUUGACCAAGAAUGAAACUAUUUACAAAUUAAGAUGCCAACAGAUCACGAAGAGCCCUGUGGUCCCAGUCACAAGUCAUUUUGCCUGAAUGGGGGGCUUUGUUAUGUGAUACCUACUAUUCCCAGCCCAUUUUGUAGGAAGUGAACUGAUGCUGGCUUCUCUUUGUCUUAUUCCAAGUUGGGGCAUGAGAUUUUCCCUGCAUUAGAAGGUUGUUGAGACCUGAAGCCUGGGAAGGUGCAUUGAAAACUAUACAGGAGCUCGUUGUGAAGAGGUUUUUCUUCCAAGCUCCAGCAUCCAAACUAAAAGUAACCUGUUUGAAGCUUUCGUGGCAUUGGCAGUGCUAGUAACACUUAUCAUUGGAGCCUUCUACUUCCUUUGCAGGAAAGGCCACUUUCAGAGAGCCAGUUCAGUCCAGUAUGAUAUCAACCUGGUAGAGACGAGCAGUACCAGUGCCCACCACAGUCAUGAAGAACACUGAAGAAACGUCAAAGUGAACCAAAUCAUUGCUUUUAUUUUACAAAGGCAGAAAAUGAAACACCACUAGAAAGCUGAUGUGCUGAAGCAACCAGAGGCAAAUGUUCACACACCUAGAGAGAAACCCUAAGGGAUAUAUGAAGAUCUUAUGAAAAAGGAUGAAAAUCCUUUAAGUGCAAGAAGUUGCUGGCUUAGUGGCUUUGAAACCACCUCAUUCCUGCUGUUAUCUGAGAAGCUGCAAGUACUGAUGAAAAAACUGACAAGACAUUUCACCUGGCAAUUAGAAAAAAGCACUGACUGAUGGAUACCUCUGUAUCAUUCUUUCAAUAUUGAUGAAACUGCUUUAUACUAGAAGUGACUGAUGUCAAGGAUCUGUCUCUCAAAGGAAGAAACAAAAACCCAAAAUUUUGACUGCAAAAGAUUGACUAAUUCUAGGUGCAAAUAACAGUGGAAAUUUAGGAUUGUUAUUGUACUACACAGGUCACAAAGUUCCAAACCUAUUUCCCUUGUAAUUUUUAGAGCAUGAUUUUUCAAAAUGCAGUUUUUAUCUUUUUAGGUGCAACAUUAAGAACUGGUUAGGUCAGAACAAUUUAGUUUCUCCAGUUUUUUCUACCUAAGUUACAUGGGGGAAAAAAGCAAUAGUAACUUUAAGGAAGUGUGAAAAUAAAGUCUUGGAGCAGUGGAAAGGUCUGGGGCUGGUAAAUGGCUUAGGUAGAAGCGCAUGCACUGGCCGAAUGUAACAGCCCAUCUCUGAACUAUGUCCUCGUCAAGGCUGGGGUGCACGCUGGCUUCUCUACACAGUCUGGCCCAGUGUAGGCACUGUGAAUUCAGUGUGUCACUAGUGUCACGGAUUCAUUCAUCACCCAUCAUUCAUUUCACAAACACAUGAGGGUAAGACAUUGAGACAGAGUAUACAAAAUGAAAAGCUCUCACAUAAUUUUAAUAGACUUUGUUGUUAGAAGUUUUAGAUUUUCAGAAAAACUGAGCAGAUAGUACAGAGUUCUCCUAUGCUUCCCCCAACCCCAGGCCUUUAUUAGUAACAUCUUGCACUAGUGUGGUAUAUUUGUUUAACCAAUAUUGAUACAUUUUUACUUUAUUUUUUGAGACAAAGUCUCACUCUGUCACUCAGGCUACCUGAAGCCUAUAAUUUACAUGAAGGGUCGUCUUUUUAUUGUAUGUCUUUACGGAUUUUGACCAAUAUAUAAUGUCAUGUAUCCACUGUUAUAGUAUACAGUAGUUUCACCGCUCUAAAAAUCUCUACUCCAUGUAUUUACCCCUCCCUCUCUCCCACUGAACCUCUGGCAACCAGUCUUUACUAACUUUGCUUUCUCCAGAAUGUCAUAUAUUUGAAAUCAUAUAGUAUAUGUAGCCUUUCAGACUAACUUCUUUCACUUAGCAAUAUACACUUAAAGUUCCUCUGUCUUGUGACUAAAUACCCCACCCACCCCCUUUUUUAAAAAAAAAAAGCUAGGCCAUAUGAUUUUUUUUUUUUUUUUUGGUGGUUUAAAAAUUUACUGUGGCAAAAUGUAUAUAAGAUUUAAAUUUUAACCAUUUUGAAGUUACAGUUUACAGGCAUUAAAUACAUUUGUUGUAUGUACCAGUCACCACUAUGCACCUCCGGAACUUUUUCAUGAUCCCACACUAAUCUCUGUGCCCCUUCAACAAUAAAUUCCCAUUCCCUCCUGCCCCCUGUGACAAAAAGUAAUCUUUGUUCUACGUUGUCUCAUGAAUCUCACUAGUCUAGGUACCUCACAUAAGUGGAUUCAUAUAGUAUUGUCCUUUUGUGAUUUACUUCACUUAAUGUCUUAAAGGUUCAUCCAUGAUGUAGUAUGUAGCAGAAUUUCCUUUUUAUGGCUGAAUAAUAUUCCAUUGUAUGGAUAUAACACAUUCUGUCUAUCCAUUCAUCUGUUCG